rnacentral:rRNA from 1 species
CUGGCUCAGGAUGAACGCUGGCGGCACGCCUAACACAUGCAAGUCGAACGGAGUUAAGAGAGCUUGCUCUUUAAACUAGUGGCGGACGGGUGAGUAACACGUGAGCAACCUGCCUUCAGAGAGGAAUAGCUUCUGGAAACGGAUGGUAAUACCUCAUAACAUAUUGAUACGGCAUCGUAUUGAUAUCAAAGAUUUAUCGCUGAAAGAUGGGCUCGCGUCUGAUUAGCUAGUUGGUGAGGUAACGGCCCACCAAGGCAACGAUCAGUAGCCGGACUGAGAGGUUGAACGGCCACAUUGGGACUGAGACACGGCCCAGACUCCUACGGGAGGCAGCAGUGGGGAAUAUUGCACAAUGGGCGCAAGCCUGAAUGCAGCGAUGCCGCGUGAGGGAAGAAGGUUUUCGGAUUGUAAACCUCUGUCAUCGGGGACGAAAAUGACGGUACCCGAGAAGGAAGCUCCGGCUAACUACGUGCCAGCAGCAGC